GUUCUGUUGGACACGGCGUCAUAGAGGGUGAGAAUCCCGUAUGUGACCGGUGACCGAUCUCACGUGAAACCCCUUCGACGAGUCGAGUUGUUUGGGAAUGCAGCUCAAAAUGGGUGGUAAAUUUCAUCUAAAGCUAAAUACUGGCUGGAGACCGAUAGCGCACAAGUAGAGUGAUCGAAAGAUGAAAAGCACUUUGGAAAGAGAGUCAAAAAGUACGUGAAAUUGUUGAAAGGGAAGCGCUUGCGACCAGACCUGUCCGUAGGCGAUCAGCUGCCGUUCUCGGUGGUGCACUCGCCUGCGAUCAGGCCAGCAUCGGUUCGAGCGGCCGGAUAAAGGCCUUGGGAAUGUAGCUCCCCUCGGGGAGUCUUAUAGCCCUCGGUGCAAUGCGGCCAGCCCGGACCGAGGACCGCGCUUCGGCUAGGAUGCUGGCGUAAUGGUUGCAAGCGACCCGUCUUGAAACACGGACCAAGGAGUCUAACAUCUAUGCGAGUGUUUGGGUGUCAAACCCACACGCGGAAUGAAAGUGAACGAGAGGUGAGAACCCUAUAGGGCGCAUCAUCGACCGAUCCAGAUGUCUUCGGAUGGAUUUGAGUAUGAGCAUAGCUGUUGGGACCCGAAAGAUGGUGAACUAUGCCUGAAUAGGGUGAAGCCAGAGGAAACUCUGGUGGAGGCUCGCAGCGGUUCUGACGUGCAAAUCGAUCGUCAAAUUUGGGUAUAGGGGCGAAAGACUAAUCGAACCAUUCUGGCUACUAGGUGGUUAAUAAGUAUUGGCGGCUUCUCGAAAGCUGCCACUACUCAGUCCUUCGGGGCAACAUCGCUACUUGCAUGAAUCUCCUCCCGGGCGUGAUAUGCUGCAGGUCCUCUCUUCGGGGCGCCUGUGCACAGACCAAAUAGCGGUGGCCGAUGGUACUAGGUACCCGGUUUAGAAAUGGCCGGUCCUACUCUAAAAAACCGAGUGAGCUUCGAGAUCUACACUGUAAAAGGUCCAUCCGUAUAUCUGAAAUCUUCCCGAUUUCCAUUCGCUUGGCUUUUUUCCGUAUAGAACCUCGAUUGAUGGGAAGAAACGCUAGUAGCUGGUUCCUGCCGAAGUUUCCCUCAGGAUAGCAGUAACGUUUUCAGUUUUAUGAGGUAAAGCGAAUGAUUAGAGGCCUUGGGGUUGAAACAACCUUAACCUAUUCUCAAACUUUAAAUA
rnacentral:rRNA from 1 species